UACAUAGGGGGCAAGCGUUGUCCGGAAUCAUUGGGCGUAAAGCGCGCGUAGGCGGCCCUGUAAGUCCGUUGUGAAAGUCAAAGGCUCAACCUUUGAAAGCCGAUGGAUACUGCAGGGCUAGAGUCCGGAAGAGGCGAGUGGAAUUCCUGGUGUAGCGGUGGAAUGCGCAGAUAUCAGGAGGAACACCAAUAGCGAAGGCAGCUCGCUGGGACGGUACUGACGCUAAGGCGCGAAAGCGUGGGGAGCGAACAGG
rnacentral:rRNA from 1 species